AGUUCGGCUUCCCUGCACAGUUCGUUGUCAACGUCUUCCCGAGUAGGCGAGGCAGCCCAGUGUAACGUCUCCCCUGCCCCGCGUCUCCCCUGCUCAGUUCGUCUCAGAUCCAUUCCUGGCAAUGUAACUAGUGUAGUCAUUACCCACAAGAC